AACGACAAGCAUUCGUUUCUUACAUCGACUUGAGUAGACAAUCAACUGACCGUAGCGGGCGCUAAAUUGUUUUCGACCAGUUUGUUGUCUAUUCGAGCCCGUGUAUGUAUAUUCUACGUCCAAAGAG
rnacentral:precursor_RNA from 14 species